rnacentral:rRNA from 1 species
UACGGAGGGUGCAAACGUUGUUCGGAAUCAUUGGGCGUAAAGCGCGCGUAGGCGGCCAGUUAGGUCGGGUGUGAAAUCCCGGGGCUCAACCUCGGAACUGCGCUCGAAACCGGCUGGCUUGAGUCCCAGAGGGAGAAGUGGAAUUCCUGGUGUAGGGGUGAAAUCCGUAGAUAUCAGGAGGAACACCAGUGGCGAAGGCGACUUCUUGGCUGAGGACUGACGCUGAGGUGCGAAAGCGUGGGUAGCAAACAGG